rnacentral:lncRNA from 1 species
UCUUUUACAGAUAUCAAAAACUUCCCAACAUGGCUGCUUCUAAGAUGAUGCAUUACGUCACAGCACUAUGAAAUGCUUUCCAACAAGCUAAGAAAAAUAUUAAAGACAAAACACAGACAGAAAUGCCGCGGGAUAUAAUUUUUGUACAAGAAAAAUAUAAUUAAGGAAUCGGCGAUCAAAGUUCACUGAAAAUAGCUUGUCGUGAUAAACAAUGAAUUUCUAGACAACAUAUAAAUUUAAUAGACCAGAAAAUUAAACAAAACUAAAUUAAAUAUCGUUUGUGAAACCAGUGUGAGCAUGUGUUGUUGUUGCUUUCCGAGAAACGUUCGAUAAUUGGUUUCUUGAAAGCAUUAUUAUUAUUAUUAUUA